AAUGUCAGCUUUGGGUGCUGACGGUGGGGGAGUAGUCCUUCCUUCUUGA
rnacentral:tRNA from 1 species